CGCUGGCGGCGUGCCUAAUACAUGCAAGUCGAGCGAACAGACAAGGAGCUUGCUCCUUUGACGUUAGCGGCGGACGGGUGAGUAACACGUGGGUAACCUACCUAUAAGACUGGGAUAACUUCGGGAAACCGGAGCUAAUACCGGAUAAUAUUUCGAACCGCAUGGUUCGAUAGUGAAAGAUGGUUUUGCUAUCACUUAUAGAUGGACCCGCGCCGUAUUAGCUAGUUGGUAAGGUAACGGCUUACCAAGGCGACGAUACGUAGCCGACCUGAGAGGGUGAUCGGCCACACUGGAACUGAGACACGGUCCAGACUCCUACGGGAGGCAGCAGUAGGGAAUCUUCCGCAAUGGGCGAAAGCCUGACGGAGCAACGCCGCGUGAGUGAUGAAGGUCUUCGGAUCGUAAAACUCUGUUAUUAGGGAAGAACAUACGUGUAAGUAACUAUGCACGUCUUGACGGUACCUAAUCAGAAAGCCACGGCUAACUACGUGCCAGCAGCCGCGGUAAUACGUAGGUGGCAAGCGUUAUCCGGAAUUAUUGGGCGUAAAGCGCGCGUAGGCGGUUUAAGUCUGAUGUGAAAGCCCACGGCUCAACCGUGGAGGGUCAUUGGAAACUGGAAAACUUGAGUGCAGAAGAGGAAAGUGGAAUUCCAUGUGUAGCGGUGAAAUGCGCAGAGAUAUGGAGGAACACCAGUGGCGAAGGCGACUUUCUGGUCUGUAACUGACGCUGAUGUGCGAAAGCGUGGGGAUCAAACAGGAUUAGAUACCCUGGUAGUCCACGCCGUAAACGAUGAGUGCU
rnacentral:rRNA from 1 species